CUCAGGACGAACGCCGGCGGCGUGCCUAUACAUGCAGUCGAGCGGACCAAAGAAGAGCUUGCUCUUCGGCGGUUAGCGGCGGACGGGUGAGUAACACGUAGGCAACCUGCCUGUACGACUGGGAUAACUCCGGGAAACCGGAGCUAAUACCGGAUACGUUUUUCAGACCGCAKGGUCUGAAAGAGAAAGACCUUUGGUCACGUACAGAUGGGCCUGCGGCGCAUUAGCUAGUUGGUGGGGUAACGGCCUACCAAGGCGACGAUGCGUAGCCGACCUGAGAGGGUGAUCGGCCACACUGGGACUGAGACACGGCCCAGACUCCUACGGGAGGCAGCAGUAGGGAAUCUUCCGCAAUGGACGAAAGUCUGACGGAGCAACGCCSCGUGAACGAUGAAGGUUUUCGGAUCGUAAAGUUCUGUUGUUAGGGAAGAACCGCCGGGAUGACCUCCCGGUCUGACGGUACCUAACGAGAAAGCCCCGGCUAACUACGUGCCAGCAGCCGCGGUAAUACGUAGGGGGCAAGCGUUGUCCGGAAUUAUUGGGCGUAAAGCGCGCGCAGGCGGCUUCUUAAGUCAGGUGUGAAAGCCCACGGCUCAACCGUGGAGGGCCACUUGAAACUGGGAGGCUUGAGUGCAGGAGAGGAGAGCGGAAUUCCACGUGUAGCGGUGAAAUGCGUAGAGAUGUGGAGGAACACCCGUGGCGAAGGCGGCUCUCUGGCCUGUAACUGACGCUGACGCGCGAAAGCGUGGGGGAGCGAACAGGAUG
rnacentral:rRNA from 1 species